rnacentral:rRNA from 1 species
GACGAACGCUGGCGGCGUGCCUAAUACAUGCAAGUAGAACGCUGAAGGAGGAGCUUGCUCUUCUGGAUGAGUUGCGAACGGGUGAGUAACGCGUAGGUAACCUGCCUGGUAGCAGGGGAUAACUAUUGGAAACGAUAGCUAAUACCGCAUAAGAGUAGAUGUUGCAUGACAUUUACUUAAAAGGUGCAAUUGCAUCACUACCAGAUGGACCUGCGUUGUAUUAGCUAGUUGGUGGGGUAACGGCUUACCAAGGCGACGAUACAUAGCCGACCUGAGAGGGUGAUCGGCCACACUGGGACUGAGACACGGCCCAGACUCCUACGGGAGGCAGCAGUAGGGAAUCUUCGGCAAUAGACGGAAGUCUGACCGAGCAACGCCGCGUGAGUGAAGAAGGUUUUCGGAUCGUAAAGCUCUGUUGUAAGAGAAGAACGAGUGUGAGAGUGGAAAGUUCACACUGUGACGGUAUCUUACCAGAAAGGGACGGCUAACUACGUG